GCAGCUAGUGGGUGGAGGGCCCUAACAUGGGCUUAUUCAAAAGGAGAUGUCAUUAGAAGGUUGAUACACACAUACACAGACAGAUAGAGACGAGAUAAUCUUUCUUGUGGACAAUCAUCUGUCAUCCUUUUCUUAAAGUUGUAAAAUAAAAAAAUCCCAUAUCCUUGUUUUGAUCUUCAUUUAUAUAUGUAUAUACAUGGCCCUAAGCCCAAGACAAUUAUCUCAAAGGAAAUAGCUUGAGAUGGGUUAGAGACAAAACUAACAUACUCAAACAUGAGGGAAAUAAAUAAAAGAAUCUGCUGAAUUUACCUCAGUACAAGAGCAUGCAGAUACCAGGUCUAUAAUUCAAUUUUGGAAAAAUGAAUUUUGCUUAUUUUCCCUUUAAGUUACAGGCAAAUUCCUCUGAGAUCCAAUUCAUGACGAGAAGAUGAAGAAAUGGAAUUCUCUCUGUGCUAUAUUACAAGGAGCGAUAAUUGAUUUGGCUCCGAA
rnacentral:misc_RNA from 1 species